AACGAACGCUGGCGGCAGGCUUAACACAUGCAAGUCGAACGCAUCCUUCGGGGUGAGUGGCAGACGGGUGAGUAACACGUGGGAACGUGCCCUUCAGUUCGGGAUAACCCAGGGAAACUUGGGCUAAUACCGGAUACGUGCGAGAGCAGAAAGAUUUAUCGCUGAAGGAUCGGCCCGCGUCUGAUUAGCUAGUUGGUGGGGUAAUGGCCCACCAAGGCGACGAUCAGUAGCUGGUCGGAGAGGAUGAUCAGCCACAUUGGGACUGAGACACGGCCCAAACUCCUACGGGAGGCAGCAGUGGGGAAUAUGGGACAAUGGGCGCAAGCCUGAUCCAGCCAUGCCGCGUGAGUGAUGAAGGCCUUAGGGUUGUAAAGCUCUUUCGUCCGGGACGAUAAUGACGGUACCGGAAGAAGAAGCCCCGGCUAACUUCGUGCCAGCCGCCGCCGUAA
rnacentral:rRNA from 1 species